CUACAAAGGGAAGCCCUUUCUGUUGUCUAAACUAAAAGAAAGUGCUUCUCUUUGCUGGGU
rnacentral:pre_miRNA from 1 species